ACAACAGUUUGCAAUUAUACUACAUUUUGUGGCAAUACUGACAUUAUCCUGCUGAAAGAAGCUACGUUACUCAUUUUUGAUUUUGCCUAAAAUGCAGGUAAAAUCAUGACAGACAUGAACAAUU